AUUGAACGCUGGCGGCAGGCUUAACACAUGCAAGUCGAGCGGAGAUGAGGUGCUUGCACCUUAUCUUAGCGGCGGACGGGUGAGUAAUGCUUAGGAAUCUGCCUAUUAGUGGGGGACAACAUUCCGAAAGGAAUGCUAAUACCGCAUACGCCCUACGGGGGAAAGCAGGGGAUCUUCGGACCUCGCGCUAAUAGAUGAGCCUAAGUCGGAUUAGCUAGUUGGUGGGGUAAAGGCCUACCAAGGCGACGAUCUGUAGCGGGUCGGAGAGGACGAUCCGCCACACGGGGACUGGGACACGGCCCAGCCUCCUACGGGAGGCAGCAGGGGGGAAUAUUGGACAAUGGGCGGAAGCCUGAUCUAGCCAUGCCGCGUGUGUGAAGAAGGCCUUUUGGUUGUAAAGCACUUUAAGCGAGGAGGAGGCUACCUGGAUUAAUACUCUAGGAUAGUGGACGUUACUCGCAGAAUAAGCACCGGCUAACUCUGUGCCAGCAGCCGCCGUAACAC
rnacentral:rRNA from 1 species